rnacentral:rRNA from 1 species
CAGCAGCCGCGGUAAUACGUAGGGUGCGAGCGUUAAUCGGAAUUACUGGGCGUAAAGCGUGCGCAGGCGGUUAUAUAAGACAGAUGUGAAAUCCCCGGGCUCAACCUGGGACCUGUAUUUGUGACUGUAUAGCUAGAGUACGGUAGAGGGGGAUGGAAUUCCGCGUGUAGCAGUGAAAUGCGUAGAGAUGUGGAGGAAUACCGAUGGCGAAGGCAGCCCCCUGGGCCAAUACUGACGCUCAUGCACGAAAGCGUGGGGAGCAAACAGGAUUAGAUACCCCCGUAGUCCCUGUCUCUUAUAC